AUGCGUCUUCUUGCUCCAGCAUUCAAGUACCAUUUCAAGGGAGGAUGACAUACCAUGAUACUUACUAUUUUGUCGAUCCCUGCUUUGGUCUCUGGUUUGAUGGUUGUACGUGCUAAAAAUCCGGUACAUUUGUUUUCCAUCCUAGUCUUUUGUGACACUUCUGGUCUUAUUUUGUUAGGUCUCAACUUCUCCGCUAUGAUCUCCCCAGUAGUUCAUAUAGGAGCUAUUGCCGUUUCAUUCCUAUUCGUGUUUAUGAUGUUCAAUAUUCAAAUAGCGGAGAUUCACGAAGAAGUAUUGCGCUAUUUACCAGUGAGUGGUAUUAUUGGACUGAUAUUUUGGUGGGAAAUGUUCUUCAUUUUAGAUAAUGAAACCAUUCCAUUACUACCAACCCACAGAAAUACGACCUCUCUGAGAUAUACGGUUUAUGCCGGAAAGGUACGAAGUUGCACUAAUUUGGAAACAUUGAGCAAUUUUCUUUAUACCUACUAUUCCGUCUGGUUUUUGGUUUCUAGUAUGAUUUUAUUAGUAGCUAUGAUUGGGGCUAUAGUACUCAUUAUGCAUAGGACUACAAAGGUGAAAAGACAGGAUGUAUUCCGACAAAAUGCCUUGGAUUCUAGGAGGAAUAUAAUGAACAUGACUAUUUCUCCUUUUGGCCAUAGCCAUAGAAGAAGCUUCUCCUCCGGAGUGGGGGACCGCCUGACAAUUACAAAGAAACCUUUAAAAGGUGGAUUUUGUGCUCAGAAUAUCAGUCUUUCCCUGGCUUAA
rnacentral:rRNA from 1 species